rnacentral:rRNA from 1 species
UACAGAGGGUGCAAGCGUUAAUCGGAAUGACUGGGCGUAAAGGGCGCGUAGGUGGAUACGUAAGUAAAUUGUGAAAGACCCGGGCUUAACCUGGGAAGGUCAAUUUAAACGGGGUAUCUAGAGUGGAGUAGAGGGAAGUAGAAUUUCCGGUGUAGCGGUGAAAUGCGUAGAUAUCGGAAGGAAUACCGGUGGCGAAGGCGUCUUCCUGGACUCUAACUGACACUGAGGCGCGAAAGCAUGGGGAUCAAACAGG